GCAUAUAGAUGUUUCUGACACCAUCAUUGUUGAGUAUACUGACAAGGACCAUCUGGUUGGUGAGAGUCUCAUUCAUAAAAUGGGUAUAUACAAGUAUGGUACUACUUGGCAAUACCAGGAGGACUACACUACUAUUGAUCUGGAGCUGUCCGAUGAUGAUGAUCAGGGUGGCAUGGGUGAUCAGAAUGCUACAAAUCAGGGG
rnacentral:lncRNA from 1 species